rnacentral:lncRNA from 1 species
GGAAAUUGAUUCGAAGGUUGCAUAUUGGUGUUUUCUUGUGUUUUAUUUUUUCGAUAUUUAUAUUGCUUACAUAAAUUGUUGCUUUUGUGGUAUUGCAUUUUGUAUUGGUGUGUUGGUGUAUGGUAUCGGACCAGGUUGUAUUGUGUGGACUAAAAUGGAGGAGUCGGUAGGUAGUGCUAUGAUUAAACUCACAGGUCAAAAUUGGGUGACUUGGAAGCCUAGAAUGGAGGGAAUCCUUUAUUGUAAGGAUUUACAUGAACCUAUUGAAGGUCACGUAGCUAAACCAGAGGAAAUGACUGAAAAGCAAUGGUAUAUUCAGAAUAGAAAGGCCAUAGGAACAAUCAUACAGUGGGUGGAUGACAGUGUGUUUCGUCAUGUGGCGCGAGAGACAAAUGCUCAUAAACUAUGGACAAAAUUGGAGUUAAUGUUUGAGAAGAAAGCCAUAACUAACAAGUUUUUUCUGAUCAAAGACUUAGUCAAGUUGAAAUACAAGGAAGACAUGAGCAUGACAGAGCAUUUGGCUAAUUUCCAGAAUAUCAUAAACCAGCUAGCAACUAUGAGUAUGGUACUUGAAAAUGAAUUGCAAGCUUUGUUGCUUUUGAGCUCGUUGCCAGAUGGCUGGGAGACCUUCGUCAUGAUUGUCAGUGAUUUUGCUGCUAAUGGUGUUUUAUCUGUGGAUUUUGUGAAAGAUGGCAUGCAGAACAAAGAAACAAGAAAAAAAAUUUCUGGGGUUUGCACGGGUAUUGAUAAAGCACAAGCUUUUGUUACUAUAAUUAGUUUAGAGUUAUGUCACAGUCAAUUAAGGAGGGCCAUAUCAAAAUAAAAUGCCUUAUUUUUCUGACAGAGCAAAUGGAAAGUGACAAUCAGAAAAUGGAAGAUGAUAAGAACAACAUGGUGAUUGUCCAUUUUCGUGCUGUGGAGAGACCCAAAGAAGAUGAAUUCUGCUUAGAGCUGUGAGUGUUUUUCUUGAUCUUAUUUUUCUGGACUGUUGAAGACUGUACUUUACUGAUUGUAUGCUUGUUCCCUUUAUCAUAAUUUUCUGAGCAAGUUUAGGUUGAUUUAUCUAACCAAUUUGGGCAAAAUUUCCAGAGCAGAGAACCACACAUAUUUUGAUGUCGUGGAAAGGGUAGCUCAACACCUUGGGUUGGAUGAUAUAACUAAAAUUCAGCUUACUCCUCAAGAUUACUAUUCUUAGAAACCAAAGCCCAAUCCUAUUAAAUAUAGAUCAGUUGAUCGCCUACUAGACAUGCUUGUCAACUACAAUCAGGUAGCUCCAACACACCGUCUUUUACUCUGUUUUAUUGUAGCGGCACAGUAUUCAGAUGUUGAUGGAUCAAUAAUUGUUUGCUUUCUUUCUAAUAGAGCUCUAAUAUUCUGUAUUAUGAAGUAAUGGACAAUCCUUUACCAGCAUUGCAAUGUCUGAAGACUCUAAGAGUUUCUUUUCGUCAUGCCACAAAGGAUGAGGUGGGAAAACUAUGGAUGUCGUCAUUGUACUGUUCUUCUUCUUCUUUUUUUUUUUUUAAUAUCAUGUGACCUAUAAAAACUUCUCAUUUCAGGCCGUAGUACUGAAUAUUAGAUUGCCGAAACAAAGCACCGUGGGAGAUAUUUUUAAUGAGAUCAAAACAAAGGUUUGCAUGAGCAAGUCACAUGGAAAUGUUUUCCGAAAAUUCGAACUUCUAUCAUCUUUCAUUGUUCUUAAGACUAUUUGCAGCAGUUAAUAUAGAAAUUGUGUUUUCAUCAUUAUUUCAUGGGGCAAAAUAUAAGAUAUACUGACUAGCGCAGGAUUGACAAUUUCUCAUGUCUUCUGCAGGUAAAGUUGUCUCAACCAAAUGCAGAACUCAGGUUGCUCGAAAUUUUCUAUCACAAAAUUUAUAAGGUAAUGUGGUCACUUGCCCGCUCUGAAGUCGGUUGCAGUUUAGUCCUGUUAUUAUGGCAUAAAUUUUAGUACAAAUCUAGCACCAUAAGAUCUGGCCUUCAUUGUAGAUUGCUUUUGUUGUAGACUCUUAUGCAACAAAAUACAAUGUAGGUUCUUUGUUUUAUGAUGCAUCCAUAUUCUUCUGUUUCCAAUUCUGCAGAUCUUUCCGCUCAACGAAAAGAUUGAAAGGAUAAAUGAUCAGUACUGGACAUUAAAGGCUGAGGAGGUUACUUUGUUGCUCACAAAAUCUUCCUCUUGCGUUCUUUUCUCACAAUUUUCAUGCAUGUACAUGGUUUUUUGUUCAGUUGCCUCAUUAUUCCUCUAAGUUCGAGUAUGCUCAUAUGCUGUCUGAAAGAAUUCAGGAAGAUGCUUUUUUACCGCUUUAUUUUUGGUCUUAUCCUUAUAUUUGCAUACAUAUGGUGAUAUACAUAGAGUAAUACACACACAGAUAUAGAUGCACAAGUACACGAGCUUUAUUGCUCUCAGAAUUGCCCUCUUGUUCACUUUUUCAUGCUUUCAUAGUUGUCUCUUCUGUUCACAACCUCGUUUUCUCUGUAACUAUAAAAUUUAGUAACUUGAUGCCAUUCAUGGAAUCCAGGAAGUUCACAGUUCUAGAUUUGGUCUUAUUUUUUUUAUAAAAUAUUGUCAUAUGGUUCUACAGGUCGGCUUUUCUUGUGAUAGUUCUUCACUUAUAGUUUUUGUUAUAGUGAUAUUCAUUCAUGUUGCUUUCUGUUCCAAUGUUUCUGACUUCAAAUUUGGGUAACUAUCAUUCCAAAUUCCUGAAGAAGAGAAGAACCUUGGUCCCAAUAGCCAUUUGAUUCAUGUUUACCAUUUUAUGAAACAGAAUGCACAGAAUCAAACGGUACUUUAGCAAUCACAUAAUCUCUGUGUUUAUUGUCAUUUAAUGUCAUUGAUUCUUUUUGGACAUAAUUUUAAUGGUAAUGAGCUUGAUAUUGAAAAUGUGGCUUAUAUUCACUGUUUCCCAUACAGCAAGUCGAGAAUUUUGGGGAACCCUUCGUUUUGGUCAUUCGUGAAGGUGAUACUCUAGCAGAUGUUAAAAUGCGGAUUCAAAAGAAAUUGCUGGUUCCUAACGAGGAAUUCUCUAAGGUAUAUUCCAUUCUCAUUGGAUCUA